AGAGUUUGAUCAUGGCUCAGAUUGAACGCUGGCGGCAGGCCUAACACAUGCAAGUCGAGCGGUAACACAAAGUAUCUUGCUACUUUGCUGACGAGCGGCGGACGGGUGAGUAAUGCUUGGGAACAUGCCUUGAGGUGGGGGACAACGUUGGAAACGACUGCUAAUACCGCAUAAUGUCUACGGACCAAAGGGGGCUUCGGCUCUCGCCUUUAGAUUGGCCCAAGUGGGAUUAGCUACUUGGUGAGGUAAUGGCUCACCAAGGCAACGAUCCCUAGCUGGUUUGAGAGGAUUAUCUUCCACACUGGAACUGGGACACGGUCCACACUCCUACCGGAGGCAGCA
rnacentral:rRNA from 1 species